UUAAGUGACUAAGCGUACACGGUGGAUGCCCUGGCAGUCAGAGGCGAUGAAGGACGUGCUAAUCUGCGAAAAGCGUCGGUAAGGUGAUAUGAACCGUUAUAACCGGCGAUGUCCGAAUGGGGAAACCCAGUGCAAUUCGUUGCACUAUCGUUAACUGAAUACAUAGGUUAACGAGGCGAACCGGGGGAACUGAAACAUCUAAGUACCCCGAGGAAAAGAAAUCAACCGAGAUUCCCCCAGUAGCGGCGAGCGAACGGGGAGCAGCCCAGAGUCUGAAUCAGCUUGUGUGUUAGUGGAACGGUCUGGAAAGUCCGACGGUACAGGGUGAUAGUCCCGUACACCAAAAUGCACAGGCUGUGAACUCGAAGAGUAGGGCGGGACACGUGGUAUCCUGUCUGAAUAUGGGGGGACCAUCCUCCAAGGCUAAAUACUCCUGACUGACCGAUAGUGAACCAGUACCGUGAGGGAAAGGCGAAAAGAACCCCGGCGAGGGGAGUGAAAAAGAACCUGAAACCGUGUACGUACAAGCAGUGGGAGCACCUUCGGGUGUGACUGCGUACCUUUUGUAUAAUGGGUCAGCGACUUAUAUUCUGUAGCAAGGUUAACCGUAUAGGGGAGCCGCAGGGAAACCGAGUCUUAACUGGGCGUUAAGUUGCAGGGUAUAGACCCGAAACCCGGUGAUCUAGCCAUGGGCAGGUUGAAGGUUGGGUAACACUAACUGGAGGACCGAACCGACUAAUGUUGAAAAAUUAGCGGAUGACUUGUGGCUGGGGGUGAAAGGCCAAUCAAACCGGGAGAUAGCUGGUUCUCCCCGAAAGCUAUUUAGGUAGCGCCUCGUGAAUUCAUCUUCGGGGGUAGAGCACUGUUUCGGCUAGGGGGUCAUCCCGACUUACCAACCCGAUGCAAACUACGAAUACCGAAGAAUGUUAUCACGGGAGACACACGGCGGGUGCUAACGUCCGUCGUGAAGAGGGAAACAACCCAGACCGCCAGCUAAGGUCCCAAAGUCAUGGUUAAGUGGGAAACGAUGUGGGAAGGCACAGACAGCCAGGAUGUUGGCUUAGAAGCAGCCAUCAUUUAAAGAAAGCGUAAUAGCUCACUGGUCGAGUCGGCCUGCGCGGAAGAUGUAACGGGGCUAAACCAUGCACCGAAGCUGCGGCAGCGACACUAUGUGUUGUUGGGUAGGGGAGCGUUCUGUAAGCCUGCGAAGGUGACCUGUGAGGGUUGCUGGAGGUAUCAGAAGUGCGAAUGCUGACAUAAGUAACGAUAAAGCGGGUGAAAAGCCCGCUCGCCGGAAGACCAAGGGUUCCUGUCCAACGUUAAUCGGGGCAGGGUGAGUCGACCCCUAAGGCGAGGCCGAAAGGCGUAGUCGAUGGGAAACAGGUUAAUAUUCCUGUACUUGGUGUUACUGCGAAGGGGGGACGGAGAAGGCUAUGUUAGCCGGGCGACGGUUGUCCCGGUUUAAGCAUGUAGGCUGGUUGUCCAGGCAAAUCCGGAUAAUCAAGGCUGAGGUGUGAUGACGAGGCACUACGGUGCUGAAGUAACAAAUGCCCUGCUUCCAGGAAAAGCCUCUAAGCAUCAGGUAACAUCAAAUCGUACCCCAAACCGACACAGGUGGUCAGGUAGAGAAUACCAAGGCGCUUGAGAGAACUCGGGUGAAGGAACUAGGCAAAAUGGUGCCGUAACUUCGGGAGAAGGCACGCUGGUGUGUAGGUGAAGUCCCUGCGGAUGGAGCUGAGACCAGUCGAAGAUACCAGCUGGCUGCAACUGUUUAUUAAAAACACAGCACUGUGCAAACACGAAAGUGGACGUAUACGGUGUGACGCCUGCCCGGUGCCGGAAGGUUAAUUGAUGGGGUUAUCCGUAAGGAGAAGCUCUUGAUCGAAGCCCCGGUAAACGGCGGCCGUAACUAUAACGGUCCUAAGGUAGCGAAAUUCCUUGUCGGGUAAGUUCCGACCUGCACGAAUGGCGUAAUGAUGGCCAGGCUGUCUCCACCCGAGACUCAGUGAAAUUGAACUCGCUGUGAAGAUGCAGUGUACCCGCGGCAAGACGGAAAGACCCCGUGAACCUUUACUAUAGCUUGACACUGAACAUUGAGCCUUGAUGUGUAGGAUAGGUGGGAGGCUUUGAAGCGUGGACGCCAGUCUGCGUGGAGCCAACCUUGAAAUACCACCCUUUAAUGUUUGAUGUUCUAACGUUGGCCCCUGACCGGGGUUGCGGACAGUGUCUGGUGGGUAGUUUGACUGGGGCGGUCUCCUCCCAAAGCGUAACGGAGGAGCACGAAGGUUAGCUAAUCCUGGUCGGACAUCAGGAGGUUAGUGCAAUGGCAUAAGCUAGCUUGACUGCGAGCGUGACGGCGCGAGCAGGUGCGAAAGCAGGUCAUAGUGAUCCGGUGGUUCUGAAUGGAAGGGCCAUCGCUCAACGGAUAAAAGGUACUCCGGGGAUAACAGGCUGAUACCGCCCAAGAGUUCAUAUCGACGGCGGUGUUUGGCACCUCGAUGUCGGCUCAUCACAUCCUGGGGCUGAAGUAGGUCCCAAGGGUAUGGCUGUUCGCCAUUUAAAGUGGUACGCGAGCUGGGUUUAGAACGUCGUGAGACAGUUCGGUCCCUAUCUGCCGUGGGCGCUGGAGAAUUGAGGGGGGCUGCUCCUAGUACGAGAGGACCGGAGUGGACGCAUCACUGGUGUUCGGGUUGUCAUGCCAAUGGCACUGCCCGGUAGCUAAAUGCGGAAGAGAUAAGUGCUGAAAGCAUCUAAGCACGAAACUUGCCCCGAGAUGAGUUCUCCCUGAGACUUUAAGUCUCCUGAAGGAACGUUGAAGACGACGACGUUGAUAGGCCGGGUGUGUAAGCGCAGCGAUGCGUUGAGCUAACCGGUACUAAUGAACCGUGAGGCUUAACCUU
rnacentral:rRNA from 1 species